CAUGUCGUCAUAAGCCGCUAACUUAGCUUCUCUCACAGCUUUCUUCGCCUCUUGCUUCGCUCUUCUAUACUUUUCACCAUUUUCAUCGGUCCUGUCCUUGUAUAAGGCUUUACAACAUUCCUUCUUAGCCUUCACCUUUGUUUGUACCUCCUCAUUCCACCACCAAGAUUCCUUUUGGUAUGGGGCAAAGCCCUUGGACUUUCCUAAUACCUCUUUUGCUACUUUUCGGAUACAACUAGCCAUGGAAUCCCACAUUUGGCUAGCUUCCCCCUCUCUAUCCCACCCACACUGGGUGAUUACUUUCUCUUUAAAAAUGGCUU
rnacentral:lncRNA from 1 species